GAUGGAAAAUAAUUAAGAAGAGACAUCAGGGGUAAGGGGCGGGGUUAUGCUGGCUAAACAGACAACAGGAUUCUUGCUGAAGGCAGCCCAGGGUGAUGAGACGUCUGAUCAAUAUGGUCAGACAUGGAGGGUGGAGGAUUCUCCGUGAACUGAUUUGUCUGGAUUCCUGCUCAAGGUGGGCCACACAGGUCUAACAGGGAUGAGGCAUAUUUGGGGAAAGCCCAUGAGGAGCCUGACUGCAACCUGGUUGAGGAGGGAGACUUUAUCACACAGGGAACCAGUCCUCCUCUGGAAAAUACUGACCCAUGGGAUAUCAAGAGAGACGGGCAGAGGAGACUGUGAGUUGCAUGUAAAGCAGCUCUUCAGAUCGUUGCUGUCCAGAGAGAUGGAAAUCAGAUGAAAAACAACGUGGCCUGGCCGUGUUGAAGUGGUUGAGCUGAAGCUGGUCCAGCCUGAGCUCAGCUUCAGUUCCAUUUUCUGAGAAGCUCCGUGACCUUGAUGCAUAUCUGUCUGACACACCCAAAGCUGCUUCAUCGCAGGGUGUCUUGAGCCCAGUUUGGCUCAAGAUGGUGUUGAGUGUGUCUUGGUCAAACGAUACGCUAAAAGCCGGCUGGGGCUGCUUGAGAGGUUAAUCAAGAGAGACAAAGUGUAAGCUUCCAGAGGGCACACAAGAAGUGUGCCGUAUCCACAUCAUAUAAAGAACCUGGUGAGGCUUCCCUGCUUGCUCAGUGGUAAAGGAUGCAGGAGACACAUUUUUGAUCUCUGAUACGGGGUCCCACAUGCUGCUGAGCAAUUAAGUCUGUACCACAACUACUGAGCCCAUGCUCAGAACCCAGGAUCCACAACUACUGAGCCCUUGUACUGAAGCUACUAAAGCCAGCUUGCUCUAGAGCCUGUGCUUCGCAACAAGAGAAGCCACCUCAAUGAGCAGUCUGAGCACCUCACCUGGAGAGGUUGAGAGCCCCUGCUCUGCACAACUAGAGAAAAGCCUGCAGAGCAACAAAGACCCAGAACAGCCAAAAAUAAAUAAAAUUAAAACAAAGAAUUUGGUGGAUAUAAAAAAAUUUACAGAAGCAAAGCUUUCCCCCAUAAACUGUAUCCCAGAGCUUGGUCUGUAGAAGGCCAAUAAAUCCUUGCUGAGCAACUCAGGAUUUGGGGCUGGUGAUGUGGGAGAUUCCAUUCAACACAGGUAACUGGGAGGCCACAACAAACAGCCCAAGAGGAGGAGCUUCUCGGUGACACAGAUUGCACGUGUGGCCCAAGAUACCCAGGGGUUGUGGAUGGGGCAUUCAGUCAUCAGUAAACAAAAGAUAGGCAGCCACAUCCUCAGAACAGUGCUUAGCUCCUCUUCACAGGCAUCCACUGGAUGCUGAAGGCAUGUCAAGCCAUCCAGGUGAAGGCCACCAGGAACACACCUGUGCUUAGACAAGAGGGUUAAUUACCAGCUUCAGGGAGAGAGACCACACCAUGGGGAACUGGGUAUCCCAGUAUAAGAGGGUGUUAGAAAGAGUCUGCUGUAGGAUUUGGGCUCCUGUUAGGUGAUCUAGGGGAGGGUCUAUAGGAACCAGUUUCACUCUUGUUGCUCUUGCUGUUCAGUUGCUCAGCUGUGUCUGACCCUUUGCAACCCCAUGGAGUUUAGCAUACCAGGCUUCCCUGUUGUUCACUGUUUGAGUUUGCUCAAACCCAUGUCCAUUGAGCUGAUGAUGCCAUGCAGCCAUCGCAUCCUCUGCAGUCCCCUCCUCCUGCCCUCGAUCUUUCCCAGCACCAGGUUUGCUGUAGCCUGGGUAUUGCUGUGAAGCAGCGGCACUUCUAGGAGCAGGAAUCUCAAUACCCGUUACCUCCAGGGAGAGCAGCUUAAAAAGCCAGGAAAAGCGGGAACUGCUCAUGAUGUACCAGUGACUUAUUUGGAAGGAUUGUGGGGUUGGCAUGUCCUGUGUGACCUAAUGUGGGUGGAUGUUCAGAGAUGAUUUAUGACCAAUGGGAGGAUGCAUGGCUGGGCUGGAAGCAUCAGGUCAGCUCAUGAUGAAGCCUGAGGCCAAGAUGUAAGAUCAUCACUAGUUCCCGGUCGCAGUGGGGGUGGGGGUUGCUUGCUUUCUCAGAUGUCAUUGAAGAAGUCAAGAAAGGAGCUGGAGACCCCUGGCUCCCCAUUUUCCUACUCGGGCUGAGGAAGUGACUUAAACCAGACAGCCGCAAACUCUGAGUCUCAUUAGCAUUCCCCUCCUCCCUUCCAUCUGUAAGACGAUGGACCCUCAGGUCAAGACUGUUUGUUCCUCUGCAGGCUGGAACACUCAUCUCCUAGGACUGUCCUUUGUUAGGAGAGAAAAAGGUCACUUCUCUAAAUGGGUUUACAUGAGCUGGAAAUAAGAGGACUUUAAGAUGUAGCCAAAUAGGUGUACAUAUUUUAAAAGUGAAUCACACUUAUGCCAGUUCACGGAGACAAAAAGUCUGUUUUCCUUACAGCCACCCAUCUAUGUAUCUUAAAUUACUGGAUGCUAAAUGGGGUCAUAUAGCAUUUCACUCGACAGCUACUUUUCAACUCUAACGUUGAGUGACAUGUGAAGAAAUUCUGAAUGGGAAUAUAUUUGGUGAAAAGGGUUCAAGUAUUUUAAAUAUUAGACUGUUUAAAUACAGCAAACAUCUGUAAAUGUAGAGCAUGUAACAGGCACAGAGCAAAAAAAAAUGUGUUCAUUGCUUCCGUUAAGUCAACAUGCUUUCUCCUCUUAGAUCAAUUACAAGGAAGGACAGACUCAAUUAUUUGAAACUCUUUUUAUCAGAUUGUAGAAGUAAGCCAUUCCCACUGUAAAAAUGUUUGGAAUAAUAAAAAGGAAAGAGAAAUAAAUAAAAAUCGCCACCUGGAGACAACCACUGUUCGUGAUCUGGGUCUUUCAUUCAUUCAGCAAAUACUUAGCAAUACCUUGUAGUAGAUAUAGGACUAGUGGCUGGAAAGACACAGACAAAUAAAACAAUCUUUGGCCUCAAGAAUCUCAUAGCUCCAUGGGCCAAGUAAGUAGGGAAUUACAAUGUCUUUGGUGUGUGCCAUGGCAAAUGUUGUCAUACGGCAUUAUGGGAACAAGGAGGACACAACUCCACCCCACCCCCAUAGAUGUGGGUGUGUGAUGGGGUGGGGUAGAAAUGAAGCCCUCUUCAAGAGGGAGUUCUUUUUGAACAAUCUAGAAAUAAAGACAGAAAGAAGGAAAGAGAGAGUACACAAUCUCUCCUUCCAAGAGUAACCAGGUGCAGGCGUUUUACGCUGGCUCUGAUUCUGUUGCACAGAUGUCCUGUUACUGGCUCUGACAAGUUUGCAAGGUCUCUCUGUUGAUCAGAAUUAUGGAUUUCCCAGGAGCACUGUUUCUAUGACCUGUGUCCUUAUAUACUAACCCAGUAAGUUGAAGACAUGUAACCAUAAUGGUUCAUGCUGAGCUAUUCAGGAAGAAUAUUAGGGAUCUGGAUAUGAUAACCAAGGGCCUUAGGAUUCUGAAUUUAUUAUAUUUUUUCUAAUAGAGCAGUUUGUUGAGUUGCAGGCUGGGAGAGGAAGGGGAGACUGAAACAGCAUGUACAUGCUCACACACACACUUAGACACACACGUGACUUCAGAAGAAUCCCCUCCUAUUGUGUCUUAGGUCCCUUCUGUCCACCGCCCUCUUGCCCUUUUCCUAAUUUUGCCUUUAUAAUUGCCGCUGUUCAUCAGGGUCCCUUCGAGGAGCCAGUCCCCAGAAGAUGCUCUUUGCAGGCAGAUAUUCAUCGAGCUCCAUUUGUCAAGGUGGAGGCAUCCCCAGGGAGGCAGUGAUUACAAGAGAAAUCUGCAAAAGACAAGACUGCAUCUGUC